AUUCUGACAAAAUUAAAGCUUCGUGCCCACCGUGCUACCACCUCGGUGGCAAAACGACUCGUCGUUGGAGAGCCCAGCCGAAACUGGCGAUUUAUAUGGGUAGAGGGGCUUCCUUCACACGCUCUCGGAGAAGGGAGGAGGCGAAUGGCUUCGGUGGUCCGGGGCGUCUUCAAGGCGAUCGGGGAGAAGGGCAUCGGAAGUUUCGUCAAACAGCUUCGAGAAGAGGGCUAUACGCGAGUCUCCUCCCCCUCUAAUCAUCAUCGCAAAUCCAUAGUUGUUGAAUUUUUAAGGAAAGAAUAAGGACCUAAAAGUUUCAUCUGGGCGUUGGCAUGAUUUUCUUAUUUGUCGAAUUUAUUUUUUUGUAAUCAACCUUUAUUUGAUGGAUUUAUUUCUCCUAGUGCGAAAUCUCAUUUUAUUUCAGUGCGUGGCCGUUAAUUUUCCCCUUCCACAUCAAUCUGGAGCCUGGGAUUUUAUUGAUUUGUUGAAUUUAUCUAGGUUUCUCUUCAACUUGAUCAUUUUAUUUCUGCACAAGAAAAUGCCAGAAUUGGAAGCACGUUAGUUCUCUAAAGGGGUUUGCAUCGCCCCAGCUAUUCCAGGAGAUUUAUAUGUUCGGAAAGAUGGAGGCCAAAGUUUGCUUGAUGAUUUCUUGUGCUUAAAUGACCAUGAUCAUCUUUAUCAAUUCGAUUUUUUUACUAAAAAAUUGUUCUUUUUGGUGUCAUUUAUGUUAUUCGCUCGGAAUUUUUGUAAAGGCAGGAGUUUGGGACAUUGCAUUGGACUCGUAUGACUUAGAAAUCUGUUUUUUGAAUUUAUUUCAAGAUUAGGGCGUAACUCAUGAUGCAACAAUUGAUGUUUUAAUUGAUUUUCUAGAAUUUAUCAUAGCCAAAAUCUAAACAUAUUUUCCCUGAGUUGGUUUGGGUUAAUGACUUGUAAUUUUUCCUCUCACGACUGUACAGGAUCCCUAGACCACCAAACAAUUCAUUCUCAGUGAACUGGCAAGAUAAUGUCAUAUGACGAAUAAAAAAAAUUAUUUAUGACAAACUUUCUAUAAUCAUUUUUCUUGGACCUCAUAGGUGCAUUAGGCUUAUUUUUGACACUUGUCAAAGAAAGGAGGCCCAACUGUGCCAGAGAUCAUAAAUAUUUUGUUCAUUUACUUUCUAGGUACGUGCAUUAUGCUUAGUUGCCUUACAUUGCAGUUUAUUGACAUUUAUGUAUAAGCAUAUAACAAUUAACCUUGUCUUAUUGUCUUUUUUUAAUUACAAGUCUCUGAUAUUCCACAUUUGUUGCUUUUUACAGGAAAUGCCUUCUGGAUGGGAAUCUAUUUUUCGCAGCAGAUAGGCUUCUCUAAAUGACCUUUCUCCCUCUCAAGUCUACCACUUGGGACCAGUUAGUGGAUAAUAUUGAUGGAUGGCACAGAUGGGUGGAGUAUGCACAGAUGGGCCGUUAUAAUGCAUCCCAAGUGCCACCUGAGUGGCAUGGUUGGCUACUUGGCUGCGCCACAUCACUGACCAUACGGUGGAUGAACUUUUGAUGCUGAAACCUAAAAGAUAUGGAGUAGAGCACAAAGAGGACUUCUCAGGAGAGGGAGAUGAGUACAUCUACCAUUCCAAGGGUCAUGCUCUCAAACCCGGACAGCCAUGGCAACCCACCAGAAGCUGAAAAAAUUCCUUUCCCUAGUAGGCUGAAGGCAUGGAAAAAAAAUUUAGUGCAUUGCUUUUCUCGCUGUGUGAUCAUCCUCUAGCCAUGUCUACCAGACAUUUGAACCGAAAUUUUAGUGCAGGCUGGAUGAUUUUGUGCUAAUAAAUGUAAUGAACUUUUACCUUUUGAAACAGCAACUUGCGAUUAUUUUACUGCAUAUUUGGAUUAUGAUUUUCUGCAACAUUAAAUAAGCUUUU